rnacentral:lncRNA from 1 species
UUGGGAUUAUUUGAUGAUGUUUUAUGUAAAUUGUCGAGUUUAUUUGACUUAUGAUUUUAAUAAAGUUGAGUACUAUUUCAUGAGAUAAGUGAAGAUGUUUUUAAUUGUUUUAUUUUGUUGCGAUUAUAUUUUGAGAAAGAUGUUAUGCGAUGAAUGUGAUACCCUUUUUUAGUUUUACUUUCGUGUUAUGUUUUGAAAUCAUAUGUUGGAGUUUAG